rnacentral:rRNA from 1 species
GAUGAACGCUAGCUACAGGCUUAACACAUGCAAGUCGAGGGGAAACGGCAUCGAAAGCUUGCUUUUGAUGGGCGUCGACCGGCGCACGGGUGAGUAACGCGUAUCCAACCUGCCCAUCACUUGGGAAUAACCUUGCGAAAGUAAGACUAAUGCCCAAUGACAUCCCACGAAGGCAUCCGAAUGGGAUUAAAGAUUUAUCGGUGAUGGAUGGGGAUGCGUCUGAUUAGCUUGUUGGCGGGGUGACGGCCCACCAAGGCAACGAUCAGUAGGGGUUCUGAGAGGAAGGUCCCCCACAUUGGAACUGAGACACGGUCCAAACGCCGACGGGAGGCAGCAGUGAGGAAUAGUGGUCAAUGGGCGUGAGCCUGAACCAGCCAAGUAGCGUGCAGGAUGACGGCCCUAUGGGUUGUAAACUGCUUUUAUAAGGGAAUAAAGUGGGUCACGUGUGACUUUUUGCAUGUACCUUAUGAAUAAGGACCGGCUAAUUCCGU